UCCUCUUUACAGGCCUUUCCUUACCUCCCUCCAUGCUGUCCACUUCCUCUGUAAAGCUCUCAACCCUGUCCCCUUCCCCCUCUCUCCUGGGAAAGAGCCCUCCCAUGCCUAGCUGCUGCUCUUAGGGACCCUGUGGCUAGGUGCGCGGAUGGAAAUCCAGUGCUCCCGGAUUUUGCUCUCCAGCCUCCGGUUCUCGGUCUCCAGGCUCCUCACUCUGUCCAGGUGGAGGAGGUGCUGGCGAGUUUGAAAUUUGGGAGUCUUGACCGGGCGCAGUGGCUCACGCCUGUAAUCUCAGCACUUUGGGAGGCCUAGGUGGGCGGAUCACGAGGUCAGGAGAUCGAGACCAUCCUAGCCAACAUGGUGAAACCCCCUCUCUACUAAAAUACAAAAAAUUAGCCGGA
rnacentral:lncRNA from 1 species